rfam:Gossypium hirsutum cultivar TM-1 chromosome 13, whole genome shotgun sequence
UGUUAAAAAUUUCAUCUAUUUAUACUAUUAAAAAUUGGAAUGACUAACAGAACAACAAGGUAGUGAUGCUCGGCGUGCCAUGUGUAUCUCAUAUUGAUGUACAUGAAUCAACAUUUAAUAGUAGAAAUGGAUGAAAUUUUUAACA